CUUCUGGCCUCUGAGGGUUUAUCCUUGUGGGUCAGGAAGGAAGAGGGGCCAUUUAAAAAAAAAUGGUUCCCAAAAAUGUUGAUUUCCCAUCAACCAAGGGCACAGGAGGAAACCAGGAUUUCCUAUAGGACCUUUAAGGUCUCCUUGUCCUUAAGCUUCUUCUGUGUUUCCAGUCAACACGGCUAGGACUUCACUUCUCAGCAGGAUCCUGGAUUCCCCAGGCAAUGACAAAUUCACCCGUAUCCAGAGCCAGGUCAAACUGCUGAAGACAAACCAUUCCCAGGAAAAGGCACACAUUCCUGGCCAAUUUAUAUGACACCUGGAGGAGAAACAGCCGUGGAGAAGGUAAAACUCCAGGCUGCACCUCUUCUUUCUGCUGUGGUUGAUUGGAAAGGACAGCACUGUCUGAUGGGAUUUACUGUUUUGUCUCUUCGGACCUGAAAGUUUGUUUUGUACUUGCAAAUCUGGACCCACUGUCACCUUGUAACACCCUCCCCCUGAAACCUUGAAUGACAAGAAGAUUAAUGAAAACUGGCACCUGCUCACUCCCUUUUUGCACUGUCACCCACCCUGAGGGAGACGCAGAUCUGAUGAUUUCGAAAAGGUUCUUGGGGAUUUGGCCACAGUCUCCUUUCAGAUUCGGCAGUCCUGGAGUGUGAGAGCUGUCAGAGUCGAGCCUGGAGUUUUAGAAUUACUUAGCUCUAAGGGGCCGAAGCCUACAAACUGAGAGCUGCCUGGAUUCCUUUCCUGAACCGCCUGCUUGGCCACACCUCCUGACAUCCUGUGCUGAGCUGAGUGAAAACUCCACGCUGGGAGAAAAAAUGCAUGAGGAAAGAGAAAGUCGGAUAAUAUCACGUCCUCUGGCUCAUUUCUCAGCGAGUAAAGAUGCAGACACCAGGAGACGUCUCUGGGCUAAAAAACAGUGAGGCAUUCUGCUGGUAUCCAUGUCGGUGCUGGCUCCAGACAUGGCAGGGUUUAUCUUGCCUCUGGUGGCCUAUGUCUGCAACCAGGAUGGUCACCUGUUAAAAUGCAUGCAGUGUGCUCGGGUACGUCACUUCCAACAGCCUUCUUUCGUGAACGGCUAUGAUGCACAGGAUCCCACCCAGGAUUCCACGCUACAUUUGGUUGUGUCUGCAGCUCCUCCAGGCAGCGAAAGUUUCUCGUACUCUCCUUGUUUUUGAUGACCUUGACAGUUUUGAGAUGUAUUGGCCAGAUAUUUGAUGGAGUGCCCCUCAAGGGGGAUUUGUCUUAUGUUUUUGUCAUGGUUGGGCUAAGGUUGUCAGUUCUGGGGAGGAAGAGGACAGAGCGGAAGUGCCAUUCUUGUCACCUUCCGUCCAGGGUAUGUGGUACCAGUGUGACUUAAGCUGCUGACGUUGACCUUGGUCACCAGGCUCAAGGUGGUGUCAGGGCUCUCCCCUGCACUUUCGCGUUCUCUCCAUUUCCACACUGCACUCUGUGUCCAUGCUUCGAGGUGGGAGUUAGCGCCACCUCCCAGAGAGUCGGCUAUCUAACAAAAUUAUCCAGAAUUCUUCUGCAAAGGAGAUUUGUGUCUUCUCCCCCAUUUAUUUGUGUAUCCAACAUUUAUUUAUAUCACUAAUGGACUACAGAUAUUUAUUUUAUAUUUUGGGUUGUAAUCCAAUACCACUUUAUUUAUUUUGUUGUUCCAAUUAUUUCAGCUUCAGCUGUUGGGGCAUCUUCAGUGGCUCCUGUGUCUUUUUGCCAUAACGCCGUCAUUGAAACUGGAGGUUUUGUUGUUGUUUUGGAACAUUCUUACUUCCAAGACCUACAGGAUGCUCCAGGCUCAUCUUGUCCAUUUCUUGCCCCAGUCCCAGAAUCAGCCAUUUUUCUAAGAACCCCAGGAGGAGAGUAGUAGAAAUAUUUGGAGAAUAUUAGAAUUCCAGUUGUGCUUUAUUUCUGGAGAAAACUUCCAGCCUCUGGACCACAUAGUAUUUUGGUUGAUUCUCACUAAAAGUUUAGGUGGUAGGCAUUCUCAUUAACCCCAGGUUACAGAUGAAAUGUGUAGAAGGGUCUGGUUAGGAUGUGGUGGAGGCAGAAAUGAGACCCAGAUGGAUACAGCUCCUCACUGCCCCCUGACGAUUCCAGUGUCCUCUCUGUUGCAUUCCCCUUCGUUCCUUCUGGUGCAGCGGCUGCGGAAGCAGACAUAGCAUGGUACUAGAAAGGAUGGGAGAACAACUGCAGUGCUGGUGUGGCCGUGGGUGCUGAGCUCCCUGGGGUUGCAGAUUGUGAUACAGGUCGGUGACCGUUCCCUGGCCCUGGUUGACCAGGUUACUGUGACCUUAACAUCCUCUGACACAUCUUCUAACCUUUCACGUCAGAUGUGCUCUUGGAGGACAGGCCGCCACCCUAAGAGCUUUCACCAUCACAGACUGCCCGCCUGUCUGCCCAUCGCCCUGCAGGCCUGGCCAGCUGCUGGCACAAUGGCUGCCGCGGAAGCCCUCACUUGGAUCUGAACGUUUCUCCCCCAUGUUCAGUUAAAUUAACUCAACUAGUAACAAGGGGUUGGCACUUUGUAUUCCAGGGAGGGUGGAUUAGAGUCAUUUCCAUUAGCCCUAAUUGAGGCCCUAAAGGGAAAUUUAAUUUAUACCCCAAAACACUGCUACAUUCUGAAGUCAGCGGCGUGAUUUGAGAGAAACGUGAGAUGUGGCGGUUUAAAAAUAGGUCCAUUUUUCCUGAGGGAAGAAGCUGGUUUUAGCCUUUCAAUUUGAAAAUAUUCUAACACCAUUGUAUGGGGGAAAUUGUUUCAACUUAAAAAAAUACUAGUUCCAAAAGAACCCCUGAAGCCCCAGCAUUUAUACUUAGGCUCCAAUUUGCCUAGGCCCUUCACUUGGAUCCGAGGCACUGUGUCCACCAUCUGGGCAGAGCCCUUUGCCUGGGUGUCCAGGCACAGCCCCUUGUCUGGGUGUCCGGGCAGAGCCCCUUGUCUGGGUGUCCGGGCAGAGCCCCUUGUCUGGGUGUCUGGGCAGAGCCCCUUGCGUGGGGGCCUGGGCAGAGCCCCUUGCCUGGGUGUCUGGGCAGAGUUGCUUGCCUGGGUGUCUGGGCAGAGCCCCUUUUGUGGGGGCCUGGGCAGAGCCCCUUGUCUGGGUGUCUGGGCAGAGCCCCUUGUCUGGGUGCCUGGGCAGAGCCCCUUGUCUGGUUGUCCUGGCAGAGCUCCUUGCCUGGGUGUCUGGGCAGAGCUCUUCGCCUGGAUGGCUGGGCCGUUCCUCCUUACUGACUGCUUUGUACAAGGUGCCUUGUCAUCAACUUCCAUCCAAAGGGGAAUGGGGAUGUUCCCCUGAAUCAUGCACAGUCACCUACAGGCAGAGAGAGAAGGUGCCUAAUGACAUGUUGUUAGGGAAAAUAGCUAACAUGUGCCUUGGAAUAACUAAUUUCUUGUGAAAUGGAGCUAUUUCUUUCUUCACUGCCUCUACUGAGAUAAAAUAAAGGGGCCCCGGCAUUGCCGAGGGAAAAGCAGAACGAUCUGUGCAAACAUUUCAUUUGUAU